AGCCCGAUCAGGACCACAAGGAAGUUCUUCUCUGGGAAACCUGAUGGGACAGAGGCGCAGAGGGUCAGGAGUGACCGGGUGGUCAGGUUUGCACACGUCGGCUACCAACCCGGUAUCAGACUGCGGGGCGGGGGAAGCAGGGCUGAGCAGAGGAGAAGAGAACUUCCAGACACAGGGGCCUGAGGAACGUGGGAAUCUUGGCAGUGAAGAAUCGAUUCUUCUGCGAUCCUGUCCCACCCCACCCCACCCCUUUUCACUGUCCCCAUAUUUCCCACCCUGCUGCUCACAAGACAGGACCCACCAAUUACAUUUCCACGAGGGCACAGCUAAUACCACACAAUGCCUUCCUUCUCAAUGGAUAUUAACUUUCACUACUGCACUACAUAACCAAAGGAAUGAAUGUGUAAUUGUGAAAUGUCAAGGAUGAGAGAAAGGGGUGUGUGUGUGUGUGUGUGUGUGUGUGUGUGUGUGUGUGUGUGUGUGGUGUUGUUUUCGUUUUAAUUGCAAAUGAGGCUUUUCUGGGGGAACUCUGACUUGACUCGUGUAGCCUGGACACCUGCAAGCCAUGAACUCACUGCCUAUGGGGAAGGAGGCUCAGACAUGGAUUUGGUAGCUCCUCUCUGGGGAAGGGGUGGGGCAGCCCUUCUUUUAGGCAUUCAGCAGGUGCAUACUUAGAGCUCAUGCCCUGUUGGCUGCUAAUGAAUCCCGAGGGAGCCCUGGAGGGAGGGACUGGGUGGAUCCCGACCUUGUGGGUUUUCUGCUGGUCCUACAGGGCAGGCAUGAGGCUGCAUGAGGUGCCCUGUGGGUCUGCCAACCUUGAACCUACGGGGCCAACCCUUGGCAUUUCCUGCCAGGAGCCAAGCCAGCCGUGCUGACAGAUGGCAGCUGUCAGAUUUUCAGGCAACUCACUUUGUGAUACCCCUCCCGGCCCCCUGAAGGAGGGAGGCACUCUGGAGGUCAGAGCCCCCUCAUGUGGGGAGAGAAGUGGGGACACCCUGGCUGACCCCACGAGGGUGACCUCCCUGGGGUGGGGGGUGACUGGCAGCCGGAGCCUCAGAGACAUCCCAGUGAGACCGAGGCAGGAGUGACCCACAGCAGCGUGUGUUCCUGUGGUUGCAGCUGGGUGGGGCCCUCCCCAUAGGGUUACCCCAGAAACAUGGGAGGGCGCGUAGGGCCGCAGGACAGGCUGCAGGUUGUGUGUUUAAUCAGAGAGCUUGCGGGACCCACCCUGGGGCCCCUCUGCUGAGAGGGGCCCUGCAGUUGGCUCAGUGGACCCCCGUAAAGAUGUGUCCCCAUCCUAUACCCUGGGAACCGGGACCUUAUUUGGAAAGAGAGUCUCUGCAGAUGUGAUGCAGUGAAGGGUGUGAUGAGGUCCUCCUGGAGGAGGGUGGCCCUAUAUCCGAUGACAGGGUCCUUCUAAGACACAGAAGAUUCCUUCCUACCAACCAACCUCUGUACUGUUACUAUUCUAUAGGAGAAUGGUUUCCAGGAACACAUAAUCUUUUAACAGUUCAAUUAUUAAUGUGCAAGUUUUGAAUUUAUAGAACAAACAUUAAAAUUGCACUUACAGUUACCUCCUCGCAAAAUGGAGAUUCAAUGAGAUAAUGCAUAUACCUGACUGUUUUGUAAGCUCUUAAUGAAGGUGAAACUAUUUGAAAUAAAAGAGAAACUGACCCCCCCCCCAAAAAAGAAGGAGGGUCAAGCAGCAGGAUUCAGAGGAAGGGCCCCUGCUUCCCUCCCCCCUGGCCAGGCAUCGGUGGCCUCGGGUGUUCCCGGGAGACUCACCGAAGUGCUGCGUGGAGCUCCAUUCACUCCAGAUUUUAUAGGACACGCGCUUCACACGCAUGCGGGCGGUGUGCUGUCCCAUCACGGCAGAAUCGGGCAUUCGCUACUCAUUUUUAUCACCUCCUAUUUGGAAGACCUUUAAAAGAAAAGAGGAUCUUGUGAUGGACUUUGGUGACAAACGCCAGGCUGGGAACAGGGCGAAGGCAGAGCGUGUGCACAUCGCAGGAGAGCAUCCUGACACCGGGCGGACACCUGGGACCCGCUUCCUCGGUCCAUAUUCCCCUCCCUCCCCGCAAUGGCAGGGCCCUAAGGGGCUUUGCCGUCUUGCACCUGGGUCUCACAGCUGUCCGUCUGUGCCCACAUCUCGGGCAGGGUCCCCAUGCCCUUGGGAAGUGAGGUUGGGGUUAUUCUGAUUCUUUCUACACAGAGGACAGAUCCUUCACUUCAUCACAUCUGCAAAGGCCCUGCUUCCAAAUGAAGUCCCAUUCUGUGGUUCUGGGUGGACAUGACUUUUAGGGGGGCGCUUUCAGGUCGCUACACUGUGUACUGAGAAGGUGUCAGUAGCUCCAUUGGGAAGAAGGACGUUGCUCUGUCCUCGGGGCGGGUGACAACCGGCUCCUUGAGCUGAGUCAGAGGCAUUUGGGAAAUCACAGCUUCACCAUCGGAGACAAAGCCCGGUGACCCCUAAAGGGGCUCAGUGGGACCCGGGGCUGAGCCGUGCCGGCUGCCCGCUGAGGGCUCAACUUCGAGCAUCUAAGACCCAAGCAGGGAGGCUGCAGAGAAAGGAAGGGGUACUUACGGGCUCUCGCUUAGAGAGGCUGCCCUGUAGACAGAACAAAGGAAAGAUGGUAAGUGGCUCUCUUCUCAGCCUUGUCUGCAAAUGUGGGAACCCCCUCGGAACCCCAGGAUGGGUAUGAAAUGAUUUUAAGCAGAAGAUAUUUGGGAUUCAACAGAUGCAGGAAAAAUAAGCUUCUCGGAGUUUCUCUUAUCAGACUGAAAGCAAAAGCUUCUGGGAGUGAAGCAUGCCAUAAAUUCCCUCGGGGACACUUCACUCCCAGGAAAGAGUUGGAACCAUCAUAAAUUCUGUCUCCAGGGAAGUUUUAUGGCCUUGAAGAAAGUACCACUGUACUGGCAUAAACAAACAUUAUCACAGACUUUCUUAUGCACCAUUUGUUCUCCUAGAAACCCAUCUGUCUUUCCUAAAGAUACCCAUCUGUAGGAAAUUCCCUGGCGGGCCAGUGCGCUUUCACUGCUGUGGACCCGGGUUUGAAAGAAAGCCAUUUUUUUUUCCCCAUUGCAGCCUCUUCUCCCUUCUUUCCUUUCCCCUAUUCAUUUAGGAAGAAAAGUUCCUAAGUUCAGCUAUUUCAAAGUGAGCUCUUUUGUGCACUCCGUACGGAUAGGAAUCAAUGUUGCCUUUUUUGACGGGGCCCCUGCUCUGAGGGGACUUGCUUUCCGAAGAAAGCAAAUGUGGAUGAAAACCCUAAAGUGACAAGAUAAGAAAACAAAACCUCUUUGGGGGGUCACAGGAACUCUUGUCAAACCUGCACCUUCAUCAGAGAGCUUGAACGACGUUCGUUACGGGGUACCAUCUGCUAUAGGUUUUAGACGCACUUGAACACACUGAAUGUAUGGUAAGAUGAAUUUGCGGGGUAGGGGAUGUUUAGGGUGCUAUGAAAAUUUAACUUCGCCCACCGGUAUGAUAUAGGAUUCAAAAAGGCUCUUGUUAUAAAUUAAACCAGCAAAGUUGUAACCAAAUUCCCAGGGAGGGAAGAGCCCAUAAGACGGUAUCACUGAGCUGAGAAAUCAUUCUUUCUUUUCAGCUAAAAGCUACUGACAGGGGCUUCCCUGGCGGUGCAGUGGUUAGGACUCUGUGCUUCCACUGCAGGGGGUGCAGUUUCCAUCCCUGGUCGGGGAACUAAGAUCCUGCAAGCCAUGCGGUGCAGCCUCAAUAAAUAAAUAAAUAAAGCUGCUUUUUGGAAUCACGCAGACAGUUUGAUAUCUAAGGGUAGGCAUUCUAUCAAAGCUCAUAUAUAUAUAGAAGCAAGCAGCGGGAAGGUUACGAGAAAGAUCAUAACGAGAGCUGCUAAGGAUGCUGACGACCCAGCACCCUCAAGCGCUGUUUGUGGGGAUCUAAAAUAGUGCAGCUGCCUUGGAGAACAGUCUGCCAUUAACCUGCUCGAGCUGCCAUAGCAAAUACCAUUAGUCGAGGGGUUUAAACCACAGACACUUAUUUCCCACAGUUCUGGGGCUGAAUGUCUAAGAUCGGGGCACUGGCAUGGCUGGGUUUCUGGAGAAAACCUUCUUCUUGUCCUUCGGACAGCCACCUUCACACUGGGACCUCAUGUGAUGGAGAGAGGGGCUCUGGUGCAUCUUCUUCUCUUUUAAGGACACUAAUCUCAUCGUGGGGGCCCCACCCUCAUGACCUCAUCUAACCCUAAUUAAUCACCUCCCAAAAGCCUCACCUCCUAACACCAUCCCAUGGCGGGGGUCAGAGCUUCAGCAUAUAAAUUUUGGGGAGGACACAGCAAAAAGCAGGCAGUUCUUAGACCUUAUAAAGUCAGACAUACAGUUCCUGUGCGGCUCGGGAAUUUCACUCUCAGUAUUUACCCCAAAUAAAGGAAGAAUCCCUUCCACAGAAGGACUUGUACCCAAAUGUCAUACAGCAGCUUGAUUUUUUUGUCAGCCCAAACUGGGAAUGACCAAAGCGCCCAUCAGUGGGAAAAUGCACCUAGCAACUGUGAUAUAGGCGUGCACUGGGUUGGAGUGAGAUUCAUCUAUGAAAAGCACCGAGCUACCCGUAUACUCAAGGACGUGGACCAAUCUCAAAACACGCUGAGCUAAAAGAAAGCCAGACAACAGGAUUCAUACCGUGGGCUUCCCUCUCCAGGAAACUUGGGAGAUGGUGCGUCUCAUCUACAGGGGCUGGGGUGUCCCCUGGCUGAGGGAGGGACGGGGAGUCCAGAGGGAAGCGUUCCACAUCGUGCUUGUGACACGGGUUUGUCCACUCGCUAAACCGCACGAGGCUACACUAAGGAUGUUCAAAUCAUCCCUCCAUCCGGCAGAUUUUCCAGAAGACCUUAGAGCUGUUAGCUAGGAGAUGUUGAAUUAGGAGAGAUGUGACUGCCCCCUCCUCACUCACCACACCCCUCCCGGGAUUAGAGAAGGAGAUCCCAGCCCUGGUAGAUGUUUGUGCUGCCCUCAGCAGUGGGGUCCCCGGCUGCCCUGAACUUUUAGGACCGCACAGGGUGAUGCGGGGUGGGAAAGACCCGGUGCGCAGUGUCACCACGCAGAGUACUAACCCCACGGGCUGGCUGGUCCCAGGGACCCUGAGGGCUGCAUCGCCCUGAAAGCUCAGGGAUGGAACACCUUGAGGGCACCCUGGGGAGAGACAGGCCCUGCCCCUGCAGGAUGGCGUGUGGGUCAGUGAGUGAGUCAACGAGUCCACGUCCCGUUUCCCCCUCUGACCUGGCCGCCCACGAUGGACCGGUGUCCCUGGCGUGGACCCCAGAGGCAGCAGGCUUCACCCACGGCCGGGGUCUGUCCCCUGUGUCUCAAUGAGAGGGGGGCCUCCCCGGGACCCUCAGGUCCUGCAGGUCAGCCACUGCCCGCUGGGGACUCCACUGAGAAAGACAGAGACAGAGAGACACCGCCGGAAAUAGUGCAAGUUGGCGGUGACUCAGUUUGUACUGCAGUCUGUCCGCAAAUGACAUUUCCUGAACUGUCACUAUUCUGUGUUCCUUCCGUGUUUCAUCACCUAAAAGAGAGAGUCUGCCGAGACACGGUUUUCCUUCCAGAGACCCUGAUACGCUUUGCAGAUAUUCGCCUUUUAUCUUCCUUCUGUUCCCCUAGCCUCUCCCCCCUGGCCCUUUAAUAUUAUUAUCAUCCUCGUUACUAACGGACAAGUUUUUCAACAGGUUUCGGUUUUCGGAGACGCUCAGCGGAAGGCACGGAGUUCCCAUGGACCCCUCUCCCACCCUCUCCCAGGUUCCCCUGUUACCCUCCUAUUAUGGAAUAUCCUGCGUUGGGUGGUGCAUCUGUUACCAUGGAUACGUUGAUACUGAUAACAUUGUUCUUAGCCGGGAUGUCGUGUAGCCACACAGAACCGGUUCCCUGUCGGAACCAGGGCUUCCAAAGCCCCAGAACCCACUUUUCUAUUUCUUUUUUUCCGCAUAUGAAACAGAGAAGUUGCAGCUGCCACGGGGAGAGGAUUGGGCUCCAGACUCUACCCUCAUCCCCGCUUUCCUUGCCCUCCUUCCGCACCCCCAACCCAUCUAUGAAUUGCUUUUUGUGUUUCAACAAGAAGUGGGGCCCUUUACUAAUGAACUCAGCCGUGUUCCUUCCUUAGGGGGUUUACGACCAUCCGGUGUUUUGUGGUUUGUGAGCAGUGACUGUGCUGGUGACAGAGGAGGGUCCGUUCGUCUGAUCUGGGUGGCCGGGCUGGACUUGAGGAUUUGAGCUGGCGGGGUGGGGAAGGGGCUUCUGGGUUUGCUCCCUGAGUCCAGGUGGGUGGUCACGGGUCCCUGGUCCUGGACACCCUCCCCCCAUGUGAGAUGCCCCGGCAGGUCUUGUCUUGUAGGGCUGGACCCCUGUGUCCCUGUGGGGGGGUGAUGCCUGGUCCCGGAGACUACUGGGCCCCUCCUCCUGUGGGUGGCCUUCCCGCAGCACCCCAGCUUCUCCAUCCCAGGGAGGCCUCAGCCCCCAGAGCACUGGGGUCCCCGGUGCAGCCCUGAGGAGGAAUCAGUGUGCUGGGGUGAGGCAGGAAAGUGCAUCCUCAGGGCUCCAAGAAAGUCAGGAAAAUCCUGGCUUUAUUCCGGGCUCUUCCCUCCCCACCCCAUACUAGCCCCUCCAGACCCAGUACAGACAAAAGUCUCAGCACAAGCCCCUCCCCUUCCACCCCUCCCCUCCCCAAGCCUCAGGGCUCUGUUCAGGGACUUUGUGGGCCUCCCUGGAAUUCCCACAACCCAGUGGAGCAAGCACUGUCUUCAAUCCCAUUUCACAGAUGCGGCCCAGAGAGGGCAAGCAGGCUGCCCAAAGUCACACAGCCUUGACGGCAUAGCCCCUGUGCGCACUUGGGGACUGUUGCCUGGAGUUCCGAGUUGGCACUCAGCGAAACAAAGAAAGCGUUGCUCUCUGAGCAGGAAACCUCCCCACAAUGACUGGAGGGGAAGAACACAGUUUUAUCACUGAAGGAGCCCCAAACCAGGAAGGGACGCCCAUCACAGGCUGAGACCUGGCAGGGACCGGAAAAGUCCCACCUUCUCGCACAGCCCGGAGGGGCCGACCAACCCCAGCCUCCUCGUCGGGAUAAACGAUCACUAUUUCCUGAAG